rnacentral:rRNA from 1 species
UACGAAGGGUGCAAACGUUGCUCGGAAUUAUUGGGCGUAAAGCGCACGUAGGCGGCUCUGUAAGUUGGAUGUGAAAUCCCUCGGCUCAACCAAGGAAGUGCAUUCAAAACUGCAGGGCUUGAGUACUUAAGAGGAUCGCGGAAUUCCCGGUGUAGAGGUGAAAUUCGUAGAUAUCGGGAGGAACACCAGUGGCGAAGGCGGCGAUCUGGGAAGAUACUGACGCUGAGGUGCGAAAGCGUGGGGAGCAAACAGG